UUAAAUCAAGAGGUAUGGAAGUAACAAAAGUUUAGAAAAGUCAAAGGCAAAAUUCAAUUUGAAUUCAAAGUGGUUACAAGUUCAUGGUUCAUCACCAAGAUUCUACAAACUUCUUGUGCUAUCUAUCAACUUGCAUGGAUUAGAAUUUUCAUGAAGCAUGGUUAAAGAAUUGAAGAAGCAAAAUUUGAGUUGAAUAUAAUAAUCAUCAAUUGGCUAGAUAUUGCUAGAAGCUAAUAUUGGAAGCUUGAAGAUUUUCUAAGAACAUUCAAGAAAAUAGCACAACUACAACAUUCUACAACAUUGAAGAAAUUCAAAAUCAAAUUGAAUUGAAAUUAGAAGAUUAUAGAAACAACACGAAUGCAAGUUGAAAGAAGAUUCAUGAAGCCAACUCAUAAAAUAGUGGUCAUUACAAAAUUGAUUUGUGAUUCAUAAAUUAUUAUUUUAGUAGGAAGCAUUGCCUAUGUAAAGGCACAUAUGUCUUGUGUAUUUUGUGUGUUCCAUAAUGAAAUGAGUAUGUUUUGAAAUUCUCUCCUUUGCUUUAUGAGUGUUAGUGAGUUUGAGAUAUAAAAAUAUGAUAGUGUCUUUUAUAUGAGUGAGUGAUUUUAGGACCAAUUAAGUUGUGGAUAUUAUAUUAUUUCUGACUUUUGGAGACUAAUAAUCACUAAUAGCUUAAUUAAUAAAUAGGAAAUUCAGUAGUAAUCGACAAUUCUUGGUCCAUUGAAGCAGUCUUAACAAAUAUAUUGCGUUGAACAUUUCAAAUUUAUGCGGACUAAGACUUUAGCUUGUGAUAAAAACAGAUAGCAUUUUAAAUGAAGAAUAACUGAAUUUGUUAUUAACAAAAAUAUAUAUAAAGAAUGCAUCAUGCCUUAAUCUCUAGGCAGCAAAUAACAUAAUUCUUCGACAGCAAGAAACUAUAAUCUCCUUGCAUUUCACUUCACUGAUCGAGGUCUGAGGGAUAUGGAUGUGAAGAAGCUGUUGCGAAUUCUUGUAUGUCUUUGCUUUCAAAUUUUUCUCUUCAUCCAAGCCACUCAAGCCGUACCCCUUGGACGCUUUCAUGAUAUCCCAAAGAGUCCACCUCCAGCACCAAAAGGUGGCCCUAACCAUCAUCCAUGACAAUAAUAAUCACUCAGAGCCUCACUAUAUAUAGCUUUCUGUAAUAUUGGAGCAGAGAAUUAGUACUUUGCUUUGUUUAUGCUAUUUUAGGAUGUACGUGUAUUGAUAUCAAAAUGUUAUUCGUAUAUUAAAAUUAGUCAUUACUGUAUUUAUGUAUAAAUAUAUAGAUGAUUUAAUUCAUUUUCA